AGCGAACGCUGGCGGCAGGCCUAACACAUGCAAGUCGAACGCCCUAGCAAUAGGGAGUGGCAGACGGGUGAGUAACACGUGGGAACCUUCCCUAUAGUACGGAAUAGCCCAGGGAAACUUGGAGUAAUACCGUAUACGCCCGGGAGGGGAAAGAUUUAUCGCUAUAGGAUGGGCCCGCGUCGGAUUAGCUAGUUGGUGAGGUAAUGGCUCACCAAGGCAACGAUCCGUAGCUGGUUUGAGAGAAUGACCAGCCACACUGGGACUGAGACACGGCCCAGAGUCCUACGGGAGGCAGCAGUGGGGAAUCUUGGACAAUGGGCGAAAGCCUGACGCAGCCAGGCCGCGUGAAUGAUGAAGGUCUUAGGAUUGUAAAAUUCUUUCACCGGGGACGAUAAUGACGGUACCCGGAGAAGAAGCCCCGGCUAACUUCGUGCCAGCCGCCGCAGUAAGAC
rnacentral:rRNA from 1 species